GUGAAUCAUCUAAUCUUUGAACGCAAAUUGCACUCUCCGGUUUUCCGGGAGAGUAUGCCUGUUUGAGGGUAAUUCUAAAAAAAAUCGACACUGUUGCUGUUUUAUGGUGACUUUCGUCGGAGACGGGUUAUAUUAAAUUUCGGUUUAAGCGACUUAAAAAUUUUUUUUAUGAUUCUAAGAAUGUUUCUAAGAUUCUUCUUGUACGUUUAAGGUAUAGAAUGUCUUAUUAGACGUGGCCGUCAUAUCGAAUCGCGUCCAUCUUUUUUCGCUCAAU
rnacentral:misc_RNA from 1 species